UUUGGUGGCGAUAGCGAAGAGGUCACACCCGUUCCCAUACCGAACACGGAAGUUAAGCUCUUCAGCGCCGAUGGUAGUCGGGGGUUUCCCCCUGUGAGAAUAGGACGCCGCCAAGC
rnacentral:rRNA from 2 species